GAGCACCCAACUCGGAUAACCAAACCUGUCUGGUUCCAAAAGAAAAAGGGGGGGGAAAGUCUCUUCCCACAGAGGCCGCGUGGUGCCCGCGUAGCGGCAGCCUAGGCGGUUACUGAGAAACUUCAACUGGCACCUUUACCUGGGCCGCUUCUCCUGGCAGUCAGUCGGCUCAUCCGAAUCCCACCGGGUCCGGGAGGUGGAAAGGGAAAAAGCUGGCGCGGCAGCAGCGGGGCUCCCGGGGCAUGGUAUUGUUUUAGGGGUCGCCGCCGAGAUCCCUCCUGCCCAUCGUUGAGAACAGCCGCCCUGGUUCCGGGGUUCAGUGAUCGCGGCGGCGGCGGCGGAGCUGCAACCUGCGGGUUGCUCGACACCCGGGGACGCAGAGCGAGAGCGCGCCGGGGCGGGAGAAGCGCCUUAGCGCCGAGAUCGCGACGGCAGAUGUUACCUCCGGGAGCCCUUUCCUCCACGGUGACAAUGGAAGAUGCCAAACUCACAAGUGACGGCGACAGGUUUCGAAAGUACAACUGCCAGCUUCGACUAAAUGCUUGGACUCCCAAGAAGUAAACCGGCGGCUAGUCACUUCGCAGACGUGGAAUGAAAGCUGAGACAGGAAAAGACUGAGGGCAGAGUGCCUCUGCUGUCACCGUCAUGCCCAAAUGAGCUGAAACGUCCCGCCCUGGGCGCAAACUCAAAUCCACACACUCGGACACUUUCAAUACACUCCUUCUUUGCCCGACUCCAUUCCGGACUAAAGAAAGAAAAAAAGAAUUAGU
rnacentral:lncRNA from 1 species